AUUGAACGCUGGCGGUAUGCUUAACACAUGCAAGUCGAACGGCAGCAUGGUGUGCAGCAAUACACACUGAUGGCGCGUGGCGGACGGGCGAGAAACGCGUAGGAAUCUGCCUUAUAGAGGGGGACAACUAGAGGAAACUCUAGCUAAUACCGCGUAAUGCCUGCGGACUAAAGGCUGGGUAGCAAUACCUGGCGCUAUAAGAGGAGCCUGCGUACGAUUAGCUAGUUGGUGGGGUAAGAGCCUACCAAGGCGAUUAUCGGUAGCUGGUCUGAGAGGAGGAUCAGCCACGCUGGGACUGAGACACGGCCCAGACUCCUACGGGAGGCAGCAGUGGGGAAUAUUGGACAAUGGGGGGAACCCUGAUCCAGCAAUACCGCGUGUGUGAAGAAGGCCUUCGGGUUGUAAAGCACUUUAGGCUGGGAAGAAGGUGUGCUGUUUAAGAGAUGGCAUAUUUGACUGUACCGGCAGAAUAAGCACCGGCUAACUCUGUGCCAGCAGCCGCCGUAA
rnacentral:rRNA from 1 species